rnacentral:rRNA from 1 species
AUACGGAGGAUCCGAGCGUUAUCCGGAUUUAUUGGGUUUAAAGGGUGCGCAGGCGGGCGAUUAAGUCGGCGGUGAAAUUUUGCAGCUCAACUGGUAAAGAGCCUUCUAAACUGGCUUCUUUUAGUGUAGAUUAAAUAGGCGGAAUUUUUGGUGUAGCGGUGAAAUGCAUAGAUAUCACGAGGAACUCCGAUUGUGCAGGCAGCUUACUAAACUACUACUGACGCUCAGGCACGAAGGCGUGGGGAUCAAACAGGAUUAGAUACCCUGGUAGUCCACGCAGUAAACGAUGAUUACUAGCUGUUUGCGAUACAAUGUAAGCGGCUGAGCGAAAGCGUUAAGUAAUCCACCUGGGGAGUACGUUCGCAAGAAUGAAACUCAAAGGAAUUGACGGGG